CUUGGGCUUAGACACAGGGUGCAGGAUCCUCCACUGAUGUCGGUGAGGGAGGCAAUGGCUGCACACGAUCCUCCCGAGGCGCUGGUGUCCGCUCACAAGGUCUCCGAGGCGGUGGCGUCCCCUCACAAGGUCUCCGAGGCGGUGGCGUCCCCUCACAAGGUCUCUGAGGUGGCGGCGUCCGCCCACGACCCUCCCGAGGUGGCGCCGUCUGCCCACGACCCUCCCGAGGCGGCGCCGUCUGCCCACGACCCUCCCGAGGCGGCGCCGUCUGCCCACGACCCUCCCGAGGCGGCGGAGUCCGUUCACAAUUCCCCCGAGGUGGCGUCCUGGAGGGCCACCAGAUGACACUGUCUUUUUGUGAGUGUUGUGUUUGUUUGGUGCCAUGUGCUCUCUCCUGUCUAUUUUCUGACCCCGCCCAUCUUGUUACGUCAUUGUUUCAGUUGCUCCAUCUGUGUUUCUCCCUUUCCUCUGGACUCCAUUCCCCUAAACUCCACUCACCUGUUCUCUCGUUACCUUAUUCCUUGAUUUAAUUUGUCCCAGCUGUUUACCUGAUUGACAGUGUACUGCUGUCAUGUGUAAUGCUCAGUCCAGUUUUACCUGCUCUUGUUCAGUGCUGUAAAUCCUGUUUGCCUGAGCAAUUAAACUCAGAAUAAAAUAUUACAAGACCUCCAGCCGCUCAGCUGAUUAUGUGCUCUGGCUUUAUAAUCUGAUUGCUUAGAUGACGUUUCACUCAAUUUUGCACAAUUGCAAGGUAUAAACAGAGAUUAUAUCUCACAAUUUUUCCUCUUUCCUUUGAACUUGAACCUUUGAACUUCUGUUCCCGUCAUUACAUAAAACAUUUUUUUAAUUGAGAUUGUGUAAUUAGCUCACAAGUCAGACUUUUUUCCUUGCAAUUCUGAGUUUACAUUUUGCAGUUCUGACCUUUUUUUUUUCUCAUAAUUAUGUGUUUGCAUAUCGCAUAAAUUUAAGUAAUUGAGACUUUUUACUUCACAAUUCUGACACUUUUUUUCUUUUGGACAAUUUGGACUUUUCUUCUCAGGAUUAAGGUAACAUCUCAGAACCCUGAGUUUAUGGAAAAAAACUAGUCAUUGUGAGAUUGAAACGCAGAAUUGCGAGAGAAAAAAAAAGUCAUUAUUUAAACAUGUUUUUUUUACAGUGGGAGGAAAGACGGCUAUGUAAAGGUCAUUCUGCUUGAACAGUUAUAGGCAUGUUUUGUAUUUAAUGUAAUUGCAUCAGGAGAGCAGCUGUUGUGUUGGGGUCAGAAGGACAGCAGGACGCGGUCUGUAACAGCAGACGAGCUGAGGUUUUAUGAGGGUGUUUAACAGCACUAUCACAGCUCGCUCAGGGGUCACAGCGCUGCACAGACACAGACUGCCAGAGAUCUCCACUGGAUUUACAAUGGAGGCAUUUCUCCAGUAAAUGCCACACACAG
ensembl:lncRNA